rnacentral:rRNA from 1 species
UUAAGCGACUAAGCGUACACGGUGGAUGCCCUGGCAGUCAGAGGCGAUGAAGGACGUGCUAAUCUGCGAUAAGCGUCGGUAAGGUGAUAUGAACCGUUAUAACCGGCGAUUUCCGAAUGGGGAAACCCAGUGUGAUUCGUCACACUAUCAUUAACUGAAUCCAUAGGUUAAUGAGGCGAACCGGGGGAACUGAAACAUCUAAGUACCCCGAGGAAAAGAAAUCAACCGAGAUUCCCCCAGUAGCGGCGAGCGAACGGGGAGGAGCCCAGAGCCUGAAUCAGUGUGUGUGUUAGUGGAAGCGUCUGGAAAGGCGCGCGAUACAGGGUGACAGCCCCGUACACAAAAAUGCACAUAUUGUGAGCUCGAUGAGUAGGGCGGGACACGUGGUAUCCUGUCUGAAUAUGGGGGGACCAUCCUCCAAGGCUAAAUACUCCUGACUGACCGAUAGUGAACCAGUACCGUGAGGGAAAGGCGAAAAGAACCCCGGCGAGGGGAGUGAAAAAGAACCUGAAACCGUGUACGUACAAGCAGUGGGAGCACGCUUAGGCGUGUGACUGCGUACCUUUUGUAUAAUGGGUCAGCGACUUAUAUUCUGUAGCAAGGUUAACCGAAUAGGGGAGCCGAAGGGAAACCGAGUCUUAACUGGGCGUUAAGUUGCAGGGUAUAGACCCGAAACCCGGUGAUCUAGCCAUGGGCAGGUUGAAGGUUGGGUAACACUAACUGGAGGACCGAACCGACUAAUGUUGAAAAAUUAGCGGAUGACUUGUGGCUGGGGGUGAAAGGCCAAUCAAACCGGGAGAUAGCUGGUUCUCCCCGAAAGCUAUUUAGGUAGCGCCUCGUGAAUUCAUCUCCGGGGGUAGAGCACUGUUUCGGCAAGGGGGUCAUCCCGACUUACCAACCCGAUGCAAACUGCGAAUACCGGAGAAUGUUAUCACGGGAGACACACGGCGGGUGCUAACGUCCGUCGUGAAGAGGGAAACAACCCAGACCGCCAGCUAAGGUCCCAAAGUCAUGGUUAAGUGGGAAACGAUGUGGGAAGGCCCAGACAGCCAGGAUGUUGGCUUAGAAGCAGCCAUCAUUUAAAGAAAGCGUAAUAGCUCACUGGUCGAGUCGGCCUGCGCGGAAGAUGUAACGGGGCUAAACCAUGCACCGAAGCUGCGGCAGCGACGCUGAUGCGUUGUUGGGUAGGGGAGCGUUCUGUAAGCCUGCGAAGGUGUGCUGUGAGGCAUGCUGGAGGUAUCAGAAGUGCGAAUGCUGACAUAAGUAACGAUAAAGCGGGUGAAAAGCCCGCUCGCCGGAAGACCAAGGGUUCCUGUCCAACGUUAAUCGGGGCAGGGUGAGUCGACCCCUAAGGCGAGGCCGAAAGGCGUAGUCGAUGGGAAACAGGUUAAUAUUCCUGUACUUGGUGUUACUGCGAAGGGGGGACGGAGAAGGCUAUGUUGGCCGGGCGACGGUUGUCCCGGUUUAAGCGUGUAGGCUGGUUUUCCAGGCAAAUCCGGAAAAUCAAGGCUGAGGCGUGAUGACGAGGCACUACGGUGCUGAAGCAACAAAUGCCCUGCUUCCAGGAAAAGCCUCUAAGCAUCAGGUAACAUCAAAUCGUACCCCAAACCGACACAGGUGGUCAGGUAGAGAAUACCAAGGCGCUUGAGAGAACUCGGGUGAAGGAACUAGGCAAAAUGGUGCCGUAACUUCGGGAGAAGGCACGCUGAUAUGUAGGUGAAGUCCCUUGCGGAUGGAGCUGAAAUCAGUCGAAGAUACCAGCUGGCUGCAACUGUUUAUUAAAAACACAGCACUGUGCAAACACGAAAGUGGACGUAUACGGUGUGACGCCUGCCCGGUGCCGGAAGGUUAAUUGAUGGGGUUAGCCGCAAGGCGAAGCUCUUGAUCGAAGCCCCGGUAAACGGCGGCCGUAACUAUAACGGUCCUAAGGUAGCGAAAUUCCUUGUCGGGUAAGUUCCGACCUGCACGAAUGGCGUAAUGAUGGCCAGGCUGUCUCCACCCGAGACUCAGUGAAAUUGAACUCGCUGUGAAGAUGCAGUGUACCCGCGGCAAGACGGAAAGACCCCGUGAACCUUUACUAUAGCUUGACACUGAACAUUGAGCCUUGAUGUGUAGGAUAGGUGGGAGGCUUUGAAGUGUGGACGCCAGUCUGCAUGGAGCCGACCUUGAAAUACCACCCUUUAAUGUUUGAUGUUCUAACGUUGACCCCUAAUCGGGGUUGCGGACAGUGUCUGGUGGGUAGUUUGACUGGGGCGGUCUCCUCCUAAAGAGUAACGGAGGAGCACGAAGGUUGGCUAAUCCUGGUCGGACAUCAGGAGGUUAGUGCAAUGGCAUAAGCCAGCUUGACUGCGAGCGUGACGGCGCGAGCAGGUGCGAAAGCAGGUCAUAGUGAUCCGGUGGUUCUGAAUGGAAGGGCCAUCGCUCAACGGAUAAAAGGUACUCCGGGGAUAACAGGCUGAUACCGCCCAAGAGUUCAUAUCGACGGCGGUGUUUGGCACCUCGAUGUCGGCUCAUCACAUCCUGGGGCUGAAGUAGGUCCCAAGGGUAUGGCUGUUCGCCAUUUAAAGUGGUACGCGAGCUGGGUUUAGAACGUCGUGAGACAGUUCGGUCCCUAUCUGCCGUGGGCGCUGGAGAACUGAGGGGGGCUGCUCCUAGUACGAGAGGACCGGAGUGGACGCAUCACUGGUGUUCGGGUUGUCAUGCCAAUGGCACUGCCCGGUAGCUAAAUGCGGAAGAGAUAAGUGCUGAAAGCAUCUAAGCACGAAACUUGCCCCGAGAUGAGUUCUCCCUGACUCCUUGAGAGUCCUGAAGGAACGUUGAAGACGACGACGUUGAUAGGCCGGGUGUGUAAGCGCAGCGAUGCGUUGAGCUAACCGGUACUAAUGAACCGUGAGGCUUAACCUU